CCAUCUUACAGGUUACUGAUGCUCAUGUGCUCUCCCUACAUGACCCCUGUACACAGGGGUCCUUACAGCUCAGUGGGUAGGCAUUUGCCUGACAUAAGCAAAGCCCUAGGUUCCAUCUCCAGCACCAGAAAAAUAAAAGUUAAAAAAAAAAAAAAGGCAAGAGGAAAGGAAGGAAGCAAAAGAGCAAUGAACUCGAUUUGAAGGACACAGAUGAGAGAGUAGUGAAGCCUGCCUAGGUCAGUACAGACGAGUGGACCGUCACAUCUGCCUUAGAAGGACAUUGACUUCUUCUGAGAGCUGCACAAGGCUUUACCAGAAAAAUUAUCUAAACCCAACAGGCCCUUGCAAGUGGAGAUGACACAAUUUCAGAAGUCCGUUGUGUUCUGGCACUGCCAGAGGACACGUUUGGAACCUGACUGCCUCUCAGCCCCUCCACCGCUAAUGGCUGGCACAAGCCACCACAACUGCUGGUCUGGAUUGCUCCACGGGCCUCCUCCCUGGAUUGUUAAUGGCCUCCCUUGCCUUCAACAGUGGCACACCAGCCAGAUGGAGCCUCAUCGAGUGUACAGCAGAUCACGUCACCCUGUUAAAACCCUGUCGUGACCGCUUAAAUGAUUGCAGAGUAAAGGUCAGCGCGUCUGCUGUGGCCUCGGGGUGCUGACACCCUGCACCUGUUCUUCUCUGACCUUAUCUCCAGUACUCUCCAUUACUCAGCUCCAGUCACACUGGCCUCACAAAGCACCCUCCUGUUCCAAGGUCUCAGCUGUGCUCUGCCGAGACUGCUCUUGUCCCAGAGAGCUGUGAGGUAACGUUUGCUCACAUGCCGUCUUUUUAUUGAAGCCUGCCUUUGCCUUGCCGCUGAAACUUGUGCCUGUCCCUACUUACCACUUCCACCACCUCAGCCACUUUCUCCUACAAGGACAAUCAUGUCUAUGGAAGGCUGGCUGUUCAGUGCUCCUUCUCACUGGCUGCUGCAUCGGACUUCCUUCCUUCCUUCCAGAGAAUUCAACAUCCUGGCUUGAGACUCAUGCAGGUCCAGAAAUAGACCUGCUUCUAGUCAGUGACUUUCAUGGCAAAUGCUGGGCACAGUGUCUGCUGUGGUCUGAAUGGAAGAGGACAUAUCUCAAGUGGGACUUUUGUUAGAUAGACUUAUGUCUUGCCACUUAAGGAGGAUCCAUCAUUAGUGUUGUACGAAUUUGACUCUUUAGGAUAUGAAAACAUCUAUUAAACAGAAUUAAUUGUUCUCUUCUAUAUUAUAAUCUUUUGUGUUGCCUCCCCGACUUUGACAUAACACCUUUGAAAACUACAUAAGCCUGCUUAUGACCAUAUAUAUGGUCAUAUACAGUGUGCAUGUAUAUAUAUUUUCAUUUUCUGCUAAACUUUUUUUUCAUUCCCUAAAGGAUUGAAAUUAGCAAAAUCAAAGCAAUCUACCCUAAAACGUACAUUAAAAUCUUAACUUUCCCAUUUUGCGG